rnacentral:rRNA from 1 species
ACGGGUGAGUAAUAUAUCGGAACGUGCCCAGUAGUGGGGGAUAGCCCGGCGAAAGCCGGAUUAAUACCGCAUACGACCUACGGGUGAAAGCGGGGGAUCGCAAGACCUCGCGCUAUUGGAGCGGCCGAUAUCAGAUUAGGUAGUUGGUGGGGUAAAAGCCUACCAAGCCGACGAUCUGUAGCUGGUCUGAGAGGACGACCAGCCACACUGGGACUGAGACACGGCCCAGACUCCUACGGGAGGCAGCAGUGGGGAAUUUUGGACAAUGGGCGCAAGCCUGAUCCAGCCAUGCCGCGUGCGGGAAGAAGGCCUUCGGGUUGUAAACCGCUUUUGUCAGGGAAGAAACGGUCUGAUCUAAUACAUCGGACUAAUGACGGUACCUGAAGAAUAAGCACCGGCUAACUACGUGCCAGCAGCCGCGGUAAUACGUAGGGUGCAAGCGUUAAUCGGAAUUACUGGGCGUAAAGCGUGCGCAGGCGGCUUUGCAAGACAGAUGUGAAAUCCCCGGGCUCAACCUGGGAACUGCAUUUGUGACUGCAAGGCUAGAGUACGGUAGAGGGGGAUGGAAUUCCGCGUGUAGCAGUGAA